AAGUCGAACGGUAACAGGAAGAAGCUUGCUUCUUUGCUGACGAGUGGCGGACGGGUGAGUAAUGUCUGGGAAACUGCCUGAUGGAGGGGGAUAACUACUGGAAACGGUAGCUAAUACCGCAUAACGUCGCAAGACCAAAGAGGGGGACCUUCGGGCCUCUUGCCAUCGGAUGUGCCCAGAUGGGAUUAGCUAGUAGGUGGGGUAACGGCUCACCUAGGCGACGAUCCCUAGCUGGUCUGAGAGGAUGACCAGCCACACCGGAACUGAGACACGGUCCAGACUCCUACGGGAGGCAGCAGUGGGGAAUAUUGCACAAUGGGCGCAAGCCUGAUGCAGCCAUGCCGCGUGUAUGAAGAAGGCCUUCGGGUUGUAAAGUACUUUCAGCGGGGAGGAAGGGAGUAAAGUUAAUACCUUUGCUCAUUGACGUUACCCGCAGAAGAAGCACCGGCUAACUCCGUGCCAGCAGCCGCGGUAAUACGGAGGGUGCAAGCGUUAAUCGGAAUUACUGGGCGUAAAGCGCACGCAGGCGGUUUGUUAAGUCAGAUGUGAAAUCCCCGGGCUCAACCUGGGAACUGCAUCUGAUACUGGCAAGCUUGAGUCUCGUAGAGGGGGGUAGAAUUCCAGGUGUAGCGGUGAAAUGCGUAGAGAUCUGGAGGAAUACCGGUGGCGAAGGCGG
rnacentral:rRNA from 1 species